rnacentral:rRNA from 1 species
AUUGAACGCUGGCGGCAGGCCUAACACAUGCAAGUCGAGCGAGCGGCGGACGGGUGAGUAAUGUAUGGGGACUGCCAGAAAGAGGGGGAUAACUACUGGAAACGGCAGCUAAUACCGAAUACUAUCGGAUAACCCAUAUGGGAUUAGCUAGUAGGUGAGGUAAUGGCUCACCUAGGCUACGAUCCCUAGCUGGUCUGAGAUGAUGAUCAGCCACCCUGGGGCUGAGACACGGCCCAGACUCCUACGGAGGCAGCAUUGGGGAAUAUUGCACAAUGGGCGCAAGCCUUAUGCAGCCAUGCCGCGUGUAUGAAGAAGGCCCUAGGGUUGUAAAGUACUUUCAGUCGGGAGGCGUUACCGACAGAAGAAGCACCGGCUAACUCCGUGCCAGCAGCCGCGGUAAUUC